AAAUUAAGGUGAACACAAUGCCACAUACACAGUUUCCACUUCAAAAGAUGGCUUGCAGUUUAUCAAGGUUAGACACGGACAUCCUGUUGAAAAAGCUACUGGAUCAUAUACAAAAACCCUGCAUUUCCAUGACUAUCUGGGGACAAUACAUAGUGUUCUUAUUGAUGAAGAUUUCACAUCCCCAAAGAUGCACCACAGUUUUGACCCUCAUGCAAACAUGAGAAAAGUU